rnacentral:lncRNA from 1 species
AAGCACAAAGAUAGUUCUUGUCAAAACAAACUUCAAUAUGAUCUCUAACAAGCUUUUCUACUCUCAAGUCAUCUAGUUUUCUAGUUUCACAUAUCAGAUCAAGACAUUCAUUGAUGAGCACAUGAGAAUUCAAAUCAGAGGCAAUCUCUUCAACACAUGGCAAGCAAAUAUCCUCAAAAUGAAGUUCUAAAAUCGAAUUGCAUAUACCUUCCAGCUGGGUUGGUGGAACCCAAUAAAAUACCUCUUUGAGCUGUUGAGCCAUUCUUAUCUCAAUGCCGGUGAGCUCUCUUCCUUCUAGUGUUGCCCGAUGUGACAUAAGAUUUAACCU